rnacentral:rRNA from 1 species
UACGAAGGGGGCUAGCGUUGUUCGGAUUUACUGGGCGUAAAGCGCGUGUAGGCGGCUUUGCAAGUCGGAUGUGAAAGCCCACGGCUCAACCGUGGAAGUGCAUCCGAAACUGCAUGGCUGGAGUCUCGGAGAGGAAGGUGGAAUGCUUGGGUGUAGAGGUGAAAAUUCGUAGAUAUCAAGCAGAACACCUGCGGCGAAGGCGGCCUUCUGGACGAUGACUGACGUGAGACGCGAAAAGCGUGGGGGA